rnacentral:tRNA from 1 species
UAGAUUGGAGCUUGUUUAGAGCGUUUAGCUGUUAAUUAAAAGGUUAUGGGAUAAAAGCCCAUCAGUCUAA